GAAAAAGACAAGUUCCAUCCAUUAUCUCUGUGUAGUCUUGCCUGCUUCUAUAUAUAUGUCGUUAAGCCCGUACCUGGACUCUACUACCACAAGAUCCUCCUCUGCUCUUAUCCUUCCGUAUCAACUCCACUAUCUCUUCAAAAUCUUGUUUACCUGGAAAACAAAAGCUAUGAGCAAGUUCAAGAAGUCUCAAAUUGUAAUGCUUUCGCUCUUAGUUGCACUUCUCUUUGUAACACCCCUUUUAUCUUCUUCAUUAAGGCCUAAAUACCUUUACUUUAUCAUUAAUCUUCUUAUUAUAGCUCUUGGAGCCGAAGCUGGCCUUCUCUCUGCAGUAUUCUCCAACCCUUUGGAGGACAAAAAGCAUGCUGUUCCUGUUUCAAUAAAACCUCAGGUAACAGCGUCCGAAGCCUCCUCCUCUCCUGAGGCAAAAGAAGGUGGUCCUGCAUGCAGUGAGAAGAAAGCUACGGUUGUUGAAAAAUCAGCGUCUGAGAAGAUUGUUAGCUCUGCGAAGGUGGAGAAAGUGAAGAAAAGCCCAUCCUCUCCAAGCCUUUUCUUCAUAGGAGGUGGAGAGACAGAAGUGGAAGAUGUCGCUGCAGAAGAAGAAGAAGAGGGGGAGGAGGAGGGAGUUGGUGGGCUUAGUGGGCAAGAGCUGUUCACUAAGGCAGAAACAUUCAUUGGAAACUUCUAUAAGCAGUUGAAUGCAAAGGGAAAAGCCUUGGAAGAGGAUUCAUGGGUUUUAUCAGACAAAUCCUUUUAAGGAUUAAUUGUUCUAUAUAUUUUUCUAUAUAUAGAUUUUGUGGGUAUUAAUUAAUCAUGGUUAGGCAGGAAGAGGACAAGCACAGCCUUUCAUUCCUGGAUCAUCGUUGUAUUGGGUUGCAAAUAUCUUAGUUAUCUGCUGCUAGAUAGCUAGUUGCUGUUGCUAUAAUCAUUUAUAUCAUUCCUGUUGUUAUAUAUAAGAAGUGAUCGAUCCUAAUAUAAAUUUGCAUAUUUAGAUUGCCUUGCAUACUUCAUAAAUAUUAUUAGAUGUAAGCUAAUAUGGUGUUAUUUCUCUGUUUUUAUUGUACACUAAAGGGAUGGCAUCAUGGCAAUGCAGGAUGAUGUUUGUGUAGGGAAGGUUUUUCGCAGCAGCUGCGUGAGUAAGUUUCGAGGAAUGUUCAUGGGAUGUCAACCUUUUUUACAUGUUUCUCUUCUUUUGUUAUAAAGUUAAUCCUUUUUCCUUCUUUCGCUUUGUAUCUGUGGUGCUGAGAAAUGAUAAUAAAACGACAUUCCUUCCUC
rnacentral:misc_RNA from 1 species